rnacentral:tRNA from 1 species
GGGGUUGGCAGGCGGGGAGCACCCCGAUGUCCAUCGGGGAGGUCAGGGGUUCGAGUCCCCUUUCGGGCUCA